AGAGCCACCCCGGUCCUGGGUGACCGCCUCGCCAGCUGCAGAAGCAGCUUCCGGCAGCGUUCUCAGUGCCUUCCUGAGUUGACGGGCACCAUGCAGCCAGAGAUUCUCUACCUUGCUUUGAGGGUGGUUUGGGUGUUCUCUUUCCUUUCUUUCUGCCCCCAAGAGAGACAGUUGCAGGGACAGCUGAAGGGGCUUGCUACUGGCAUCUGGAAGGCAGAGGCCAGUCCCCACAGUGAGAUUAUCUGACCGUGGUGCAGGAUAGAGAAAUCCUGGGACAGUGCUGUGGAUGUCCGGGGUGGUCAUUCCUCCAGCCACAGGGGGCUUUCAGAGGUUGUCCUGAGGCUGCAGUACAGGGGGCUGUCCUGAGGAGCAGGGUGGUCCCCACCUGGGCUGAGGACAGAUCUUUGGGAGGCAGCAGUGGCCUGAGCCCUGGAGCAGGAAGCAGAGGUCCUGGCUCCAUUCCCCCUCAUUCUCUCUCUGCUCAAAUGAGUCACUCCACCCUCACUACCCCUAUUUACUCAUCUGAGGCAGGAGCUGACUUAGGAGCUGGGGAACCACUCAUAGGCCUUGGGCGAAGAAAAAUCCUGAAGUCAGACUGUGUCAGGUGUCUGAGAGCUUCCACUUCACCUUAAAGAAACUCAAACUGAAAAAGAGUCCGGUCUGCGCUUGGAAGAAGACGUGGAGCAGCGGGUCAAUGGACAGCUGAUCCUCAAACAGCACGGGUUUGAUCUGGAGGGUCCGUCCACUCCUACGCGGGUUUCUUCGGCGUCUGUCACCCAGGAGUUGGCAAGGCCAAUGCCCAGCCCUCCUCUUCCUCCUGCUCUUCCUCAGCCUACACAACAUGAAGAUGACGAAGACGGAGACCUUUACGAUGAUCCCCUUCCACUUGAUAAAUAGUAAAUAUCUUUCCAUUCCUUAUGAUUUUCUCUGGCUUACUUUAUGGUGCGAUAGUGGAUAGCAUAUAAAAUACGUGUGAAUGGACUUUGUCUGUUAUAGACAAGGCUUCCAGUCAGCAGUAGAGGAUUCGUAGUUAAGUUUUGAGGGAGUCAAAAGUUGUACGUGGAUUUUUCAACUGCAGGGCUCAGUCCCCCACUCCCCGUGUUAAGGGUCAACUGCACAUUUGUGCUAUUUGACGUUAAAAUACAAUGUAACCGGCCAGGCGCGGUGGCUCAAGCCUGUAAUCCCGGCACUUUGGGAGGCCAAGGCGGGUGGAUCACGAGGUCAAGAGAUUGAAACCAUCCUGGUCAACAUGGUGAAACCCCGUCUCUACUAAAAAUACAAAAAAUUAGCUGGGCAUGGUGGCGCGUGCCUGUAAUCCCAGCUACUCGGGAGGCUGAGGCAGGAGAAUUGCCUGAACCCAGGAGGCGGAGGUUGCGCUGAGCCGAGAUCGCGCCAUUGCACUCCAGCCUGGGUAACAAGAGCGAGACUCCGUCUCAAAAAAAAAAACAAAAAAAACAAAGUAACAGUGGGCAUGUAUCACGGUGCUGCUCUCCCCACCCCACCCCCGCUUUGAAUGAUUUUUACGUCCUUCUUUGCACUUUUCUGUGUUCUUCACAUUUCUUUCCAAUGAGCACGCCUCACAUGUAUCACCCAAAGGAACAGUGGCUUUGUCUCUAGCCAGUGUCA
rnacentral:lncRNA from 1 species